rnacentral:lncRNA from 1 species
UUUUAUAGCCACUUCUGUGUGCCCGCUGACCAGUUCCAUCUCAGCAGAGCGUACACAAGCUUGCCUGCAGCACAGCAAGGGCUCUGCCCCCUUUACUACAAGCAGGCAAUCUCCCCUGUGCUUUCUUUUCUCCAUUCUUUCCACAGAGAAGAAGCUGGUCACGCUUCCAUCACCUCCACUCAUUUUAUUUCAAGAAGAGAAAAACUGGAGGACGUUUGCAUAAUUCCAUUCCACCAAUCCUGCUUCUGUGGUGCCUCGUCAGUGACCAAAUGCAUCGCUUCAUCUCCUCAGUGCUGAUCAUUACACCUCUGCGCUGCCAGGCCACAUCAAGCAGCAGGGCUGCCUUCCACUACAACACCAACUCCAGAAAGAAUGUGAUUACAUUGACCUUGCCCCUCCUCAAAACAAUGCUCUGUUCUCUCCCUGGGAGCCCAGGAAGGGACCACACUCAACUCAUCUCUUAAAAGAAGAUAGGUCAACCUCUCUAGUAACGCCCACCACCACCCCUCAGUGUUUAAUGCUAACCACUCAAAUUGUAAAGGGGGCACUAGCUUUCUAACAAGCCCCCAGACAAGGCUGUGUGUCUGCAGUUCCUCCUGUGCCUCUGAUAAGCACAACUGCUCAGAGUCUAGUCAGGGAACGCUCAUACCAGAGAAGACUGGAUCCCCACAGGGACCCAAUGGUAGAUGCUCCAGCCCACCUGAGUUAAUAACUUGUCUCCCUGGUGUGCCGCUUAUAGAAACAACUGAGAGAGGAAGAGUUUGUUUUGACUUACAGUUUGGAAGAUGUAAUCCCUAAUAGCAAACAAAUGGAACAGACCCUGUCCAUGACAUGUGGAGCUUGAGGCUGGUCAUCUCCUAAAGAUCCUAUACCUUUCCCGAUCCGUUCUACCAACUGGGUGGCAAACAUUUAAGCACGUGAGUCUGUGGAAGACAUUUUACAUUCAAACAUGACCCAAGUUUCCCCAGGUUCUAGUCAUCAGCCAGUCUCCAAGAAGAGAAACAUAGGGGGUGUGGCUGCAACUGUCUGUUCGAGGGAACCCUACAGUGAACAAUGAACUGCUACAGUCACAAGGUGUGCCGUGUAGCAAACACCUGCAUGCUCAGAGGCUUAAAGAACGGAUGCUGGUCUAGCUCAU